GUUUUUCACUCUCUUCUGCUGCAUGUAUGAAGAAGUGGACAGACUUGGGAAGCACUGCCUCCUCCAAAAAUGUCUGCAGGAGCAUAAAUCCUCAUGUCUGAGAAAAAUCCUGGGAAAAUCCCCUGGUUUUGCAUGCUAGGCCAGCUAUUCAUCAAAAAGUGGAGGUAAAGGAACUCCUAGCCCAGGGAGAAGGACUGUGAGUGCUGUGUCCCUCUACCCAGCACAAAACAUACAGAACCUAUACAGCCAUGGAGCUGUGGGAGCUGACAAAACAAUUAAAGCAGAAGAUGGGUGAAACAAUGCCUGUGUGGCUGCUGUGGCUAUAGGACAAUGAGGCUGAUAACACACAGUUAAGCCCACAGGAGAUGUUCCAAAUAGCCAACAUAGCCAGCACUCCCUCUAUGAGACAGGUUCUACAAGAUGUACAGAGAAUGGCCCCAGAGGUAGGCAAUCGGAUGUGAUAAAUGGUUUGCUUGCAGCUGCUCGCCUGGUUUGGGAAAAUUCAGAUGACCUGCUGGAGCAAGUCACCAUCUAGACUUGAUCACUGUGCUACAUGAAAUGGGCAUUUGACAGAUGAUGUCUGCAUUGCAGUACCAUAGGCCGGAUGAACUAAGGAUGGUGUGCAUGAAGGGCAUGAUCUUGGCAAGCAGGCCAGCUGGCACUUCCGGGUCAGUGGCAGCCUUUCUAAUGCUCUUUACAGAUCACCUGAUCCAUGAUGCUGUUGAUGCCUUGGCUAGGCUGGGAGAUGUGGAAGUGAAGCACCACUAUAAGAUUUGAAAUCUUCCAUACAGUCUGAAGGAAGCUUUGCUGGCAUUGGAGUGGGCCAUGGACAAAAACAAGGUCCAGGGACCCGAACUGUUUGUCAAAUUCUUAGGUGUUAUGUGAUAGAGAAUGUUAUGGUUGAUACAUUGUGUCAACUUGGGGAGUCUAGAGGUUUGGCUAAGUGACUCA
rnacentral:lncRNA from 1 species